UGCGCCGUAAGCAUAUUUGAGAUAAGUGUCAUAUUACGAAUUUAUUUAUCAAGAGGAAGCCAAUUUUUGGAUCCCGUGACGAUUACAGUCUCAUCGUAAUUGCAACACUUAUAACUACCGAUUAUAUGGAGUGCAAUACGCUUCCUGAUCCCUUUGACGCGGACGGUUUUGGGUUUGCUCUCAUGUUUCUGUGAUUGACAGACUUUAUUUUCAAUAUAAUGGUGCAAUUUACGUAAAAGCGAACACGUGGAUGAUAAGUAGGAAGGAUAUGAUUCAUAGACCUCGUGUAAAUUGUCUGAAACGUGAGAGCAUUUGAUUCUUAAGAGAAGGAGUCAAGAUCGACGCUCAUUUAUUUUAUUCCUUUGGUUCGGAGUUCCUCCGAAUUUAUUAACUGUCGGAAUCUAAGCUAAGUGUCAGAAGGAGAAUCGAGUUUCAAAAUAACACGUAGUUGGUUAAACAAUCCUGAUAAAAGGGUGUCGGACGACCAGUACCGAUGCUCUUUUGUUUUCCGUCCCGGGCCGCAGUUCCUCGGGGUUUAUUGAUCCCAGUUGUAAACACACCAUGGCAGGAGUCGGAGGGGAAGGACCGCUCCUCCUCGCCCUUUCCUCCUCGUUCCUUCUCCCGGGUGUGAAUGGCAAGCCCUCGACGGGGACGGAUCUCGAAAUAGACGAGAAGUACCAGAACACGCAUAGGAUUGACAGCUUGAAUAUCCUCCUAUACACCUUUUUACUGAUCCUAACUGUGGUGACGAUAUGGAUCUUCAAAUACCGAAGGGCAAGGUAUUUGCACGAGACCGGCCUGGCUGUCAUUUACGGUUUGAUAGUCGGAGCCAUCCUGAGGUACAGCGGGGACAACACCCCCGUCAGCCACAUGGUGGUUGACCCCAAGGAGCCACAGACCUACCACGGGGAUGCCCCUCCAGACACCCUCUGGUUGAAGUAUGGAGGUAAUAUAAAUGCUAGCCAGAACAGAACAUACGCAUACUCUUUCAGGGGAGAGAUUCCUGAAAGCUUAGAAGAUGAGAUUGUUCAGAAGGCAACUUUUGAUCCUGAAAUCUUCUUUAACAUCUUGCUGCCUCCCAUUAUCUUCAGUGCUGGCUACAGUCUCAAGAGGAGACAUUUCUUCAAGAACCUGGGUGCCAUUUUCACAUUUGCCUUUCUGGGGACAACCAUAUCAACUUUUGUAGUUGGCGGCUUAGUGUAUGGCUUCUUAUGGCUGUUGAGCUCAAGCUUCUCAUUCAUCGACUGCCUUUUAUUCGGCGCUCUCAUCUCCGCCACCGACCCAGUCACCGUGCUGGCCAUCUUCUCCGACCUCCACGUGGACGUCAAUCUGUAUGCCCUGGUGUUUGGAGAGUCGGUUCUCAACGAUGCAGUCGCCAUUGUCUUGUCUAGUGCCAUCGAAAGUUAUGGCAGUGCCAGUGGAGGCUUUGAGACGUCAGCCUUCUUCCUGGCCAUCCUCAAUUUCCUGUGGAUCUUCAGCAUGUCAUUCCUCAUCGGCUCAGUCAUGGGCUGCCUCACCGCCAUCCUCACCAAGUUCACGCGUCUUAAGGACUUCCCGCUGCUGGAGACGGCGCUCUUCGUCCUUAUGUCAUACUCUACCUUCCUCAUGGCAGAGGCAGCGGACUUGACAGGUAUUGUGGCGGUGCUCUUCUGUGGAAUCUGCCAAGCCCACUACACCUACAACAACCUGUCUGCGGAGAGUCGCGUUGCUACCAAGACACUGUUCGAACUCCUCAAUUUCCUCUCAGAAAACUUUAUCUUCUCAUACAUUGGGGUUUCUAUGUUCACCUUCGACCACCACAAGUGGGAUGUGGGAUUCAUCUCCAUCGCCUUCGUAGCCAUUAUCGCUGGGCGCUUCAUGUGCGUCUACCCUCUUUCCUUCCUGCUGAACCUUGGCCGGACUCCGAAGAUCCCCAUCAACUUCAUGAACAUGUUGUUCUUCUCGGGUCUCAGAGGAGCCAUAGCCUUUGCACUUGCCAUUCGCAACACCAGCAGCAGUGCACGGAAGGCCAUCCUAACCACGACGUCGCUGAUAGUCAUAAUAACUGUCAUAUUAUGCGGCGGCCUCACCACCCAGGUUCUGUCAUGGCUUGGGAUACCGGUUGAUGUGGAGGAUGAUGAGACCCACCACCUAAACACCUCGUUCCAGCCAAUCAGAAAUGAUUACAAAAGCAUUGACGAAGGCAGGGGGCCAGGGGCAGAGGAUGGGGGAGAAGGCCCUCCCGAGGGGAUCAGCAGCAACUCAAGCAAGUACGAGAAGGCCUGGCUGUUCCGCAUCUGGUCGCAGUUUGACGUGAAGUUCAUGAAGCCUUUCCUGACCAACAGUCGCCCCACUCUGCUAGACACCACACCCCUCUGCUGCGCCCCCUUAGCAAGGAUCCUGACUACAACCGAACAACUGACGCAGGAUCGCGACCCUCUUAAUGAUGACCUUCCAAUAGACGACUCUAUCAUCAGUGUCGGGGGAAUUCACACCUCCAUAGACUCUAGUCGGCAGCAGGAACGAGACUCUGGGGAUAACCGUAGCCAACUCAGUAUUGACGCCCAGAAUUUCAUGUAACUAACAACCCCCUGUUCACCAACCAUCACCACAACCACUACUAACUACUACUACUACUACUACUACUACUCUACUACUACCACCUCCACCUCCACCUCCAUGGAACAGCUAACUCCUGAACAACCAGACUGAGUAACGACGUAAAUCGCAUCUCGGGAAUAAAUUGGUCGCCGCCUCACCGUCCUCGGGAUGUAAACCAAACCAAGUGUUAAACAAGAGAUGUAUUGCCUUCUUUCCCUCAUAUACUGAAUAUAACCAACCCAUUAUACGACGGCGACCUGGGCUUGGGCUCGUCCAGUAGCGUGCCCACCCGGGUGUCUGUGGCUGGUUCCCGGGGCCAAGACCUGUAGAGAUGGCGAGUGGCUGCGUCCAACGUCUUGUGUGUUAAUUGAAGAUGUGUUUGUAUAGUGAAAAGUGACAAGUGACAUGAGAUUGGAGGAAGUCAUGUUUGGCAAAGUGUCAUACUCUCCAUAAAUCCUUUUUUUUUUAUAUAUAUAAAUAUAUGUGUAUGUGGGCUUGAAAGUGUUUUAAGAGCCAGAUUAGCUUCUGUGUUUCAGAGGGUUUUAUUUAUUACACUUUACUUUUUCCCCGUCGUAACUAUUGGAAAAAUUUGAGACACCAUAUUGACUUAUGGAAUGGAUUUUUUUUUUUCUUUCUUUUUUUCUUUCUUUCCUUCUUUCGUUUUGUAUUAGAUUUUUGUUACCUUCUAACUGUCUCUGUAUUAGAAUUACAUUGUUGAGAUUUCAGCUUAGGAACUUGUAGUGACAGUACUUUCCAUACUGUGUACAUAUUAAACACGAACUCUGUGAAAGAUGUGGUUGCUUGUGUUUGUCUGGCGGAGGUUUGCAAGAGAGCGUGUAUACUACGUUUCAGUGUGCCAAUAACCAAAUGACAUAUGCCAGAUUGAGAUAAAGGGAGAAAGAAAGUAAUUUUGCCCUUUUUUUAUUUUGGUACUAUAUAUAUUUUUUUUAAUUAUUAUAAUUAUUAUUAUUAUUUUUUUUAUUAUUGUUAUUAUUAUUAUUAUUGUGAUUAUUAUUAAUGAAUCAGUCAGUAUUUAGUAAAUGAUCUACGUAAAUCUUUCAUUUUUGUUUUUGUAGAAGGUUUAUGGGAUUACACUCAGUCUGGGAAAGUUUUGUUUGUCUAUUAUAAGGAAGCUUUGUCUGUAAUACUUUUUAUGACAGAUUCUGUUCGUGUUAAAUACAGAAUUUUUGUUGAUGUUGUGUUAGGGCAUUUUGCUCUCUUUCUCUCAUUUUCUUCUCUUUCAUUUAUAUUCAGUAGCAAGGGAAAAGGCAGAAAAGGACGAUAAAAGAAAGUAUAAUAUCUAAUUUGUUACUGAUCACAAUUAAGAGGUUUAAAAGCUAUUGUGACUAUUGUGACAAUCUCGUUGGUCUGGAAUACAAAUGUUUGAUAAUAAUUCUUAGUACCUUAGGUUAUUAAUGUGAAAAUUGUUUCAAAUGUAGUUGAAAUGGUUAGUUUCAGUGGUUGAUAUUGGCCCACUACUGAUAAUUCACAAACCCUGUGAAAUAGUGGUAGAUUCUUUGAAUGUACUUUGUUGAUGUGGGAUAUGAAUAUGAUCAUUAUUUAUUGAUCUUCAUUGAUAAUGUUGUUGGAAGGAUGUUAUCAUUACAGCAAGCUGUAUUUUUUUUAGGUUUCAAGCUGGAUGUACAUUGCAUACAUAUAAGAUAAAUGUGAUAUGUUUGAAUGGUUUCUAGAAAGAUCAGACCUGAUUAUUCACUUCCAUAGGUUAACCAUGUAGUUUUUCAUGUUGGAAGAAACCAGUGAGACAACUCAGCUUGUGCUUGUCUUAUGCGAUGUUACUUGUAGGCUUUUGUGGGAAGCAUAAAUGAUGCUUUUCUUAACCAAGGGCAACGUGUUUUGAAGAACUUUAUAUAGGGUGAUGAGGGAGGGGAAUGUAGAGAGGGAAGGAGGGAGGGAGGGAGGGAGGGAGGGGAAUGGCAUUGUUUUACCUUAAUAUAAACAGCUUUGAUGGCUUAGAUCUGUCUAUGCAGUGUAAGAAAAUUGGUUUCUGUUUAGGGGUCCUUUAAGUUUGCUUCAAAGUAAAAAAUAAAUUUGUUAUAUAUAUUAUGAUGUUCACUCAGUGCACUUAAAUGUGUCUGUGCUUCGUGUGUCUCUCUCCAGUAAGAGUCAGUGUAGUGAGCACUUCAGUAUUCAUGCUUGUAAAUGCCCACUUGAGGAUGAGCAUCUGAGAAAGCAUGUGUUAAAACGCUCAUGCUUACCUAUAUUGCGCAUACUACUACCUUAGGAUGGUCCCUCUUAAGGUUUUCUAUUUUCAUAUUUACAGAACAGGUAUUAUAUUUUUACUUGAUCAAGCUCUGGACAUAGUAUACCUAUUGCUAAGACUACUACUGUGCAUUGUAUCGAUUCCUGUUCGUUUCAGGGGUUUACCCCGGAAUGAACAAAUGGGAUAGCCCAAGUGAAAGGGAUUUUCAUAGUUGUUGUACAUAGGAGAUUAGCUGUAAUAAAAAUGUUAAAAUUGAAAAAAAAAAAAAA